rnacentral:rRNA from 1 species
CGGUAACACGUGGGAAUCUGCCCUUAGGUAUGGAAUAACUCAGGGAAACUUGAGCUAAUGCCAUAUGAUGCCGCAAGGCCAAAGAUUUAUCGCCUAGGGAUGAGCCCGCGUUGGAUUAGCUAGUUGGUGAGGUAAAGGCUCACCAAGGCUACGAUCCAUAGCUGGUCUGAGAGGAUGAUCAGCCACACUGGGACUGAGACACGGCCCAG